UUUAUAAUCCCAUACUGUCUGUGGAUAAUCCGGGCCUGAGUAAACCAAUUGGGAGGCAACUCUGUUGCACCUAUUUAGAUUUUCUGUUUACUGUGGUUUAGUUAAGUCUGUUGCAGCAGAAAUGUUUCUGGAGCAGCUGGUCGCUGCAGUCUGUCUUUAUUCAUCCACCCAGAAGAUGUGGCUACAGCAGGUGCUGCAGGUUGACCUUUGCUAAUACUUAUUUGCCAGACGUCGGUCCAAAGCAUAGGUCCAAAGGUUCUCCAGCGUGGUCACCGAAGUGUUCAAACACUGGUUGCAAGUUUGCAUCAUAUGGCUUCUGCGUGGCAAAGUGUCGUGUCUAUGCACCAGAGGAUAGUGGACAAUGGAGACAAGAGGACAGACCCGUGGCUGCUGGUCUACUCCCCCGUCCCGGUGGCACUCAUCUUCUUGACGUAUCUCUUCGUGGUGUGGGCCGGCCCUCGUCUGAUGAAACACAGAGAAGCCCUUGACCUCAAAGGGGUUCUCAUUGUUUACAACUUUGCCAUGGUUGGCCUGUCUGGCUACAUGUUCUACGAGUUCCUGGUCACAUCCUGGCUCUCGAACUACAGCUAUCUGUGUCAGCCUGUAGAUUACAGCAACAGCCCGCUGGCAGUAAGGAUGGCCAAGGCCUGCUGGUGGUUCUUCUUCUCUAAGGUUAUAGAGCUCAGUGACACGCUCUUCUUCAUCCUGAGGAAGAAGAACAGCCAGCUGACAUUCCUUCAUAUUUACCACCACGGCACCAUGAUCUUUAAUUGGUGGGCGGGAAUCAAGUAUGUGGCUGGCGGACAGUCAUUCUUCAUCGGGCUGGUCAACACCUUUGUUCACAUUGUGAUGUAUUCUUAUUACGGCCUGGCUGCCAUCGGCCCUCACAUGCAGAAGUAUCUGUGGUGGAAGCGAUACCUCACGUCUCUGCAGCUGCUGCAGUUUCUGCUGUUCCUCCUGCACACGGGCUACAACCUGUUCACAGAGUGUGACUUCCCCGACGCCAUGAAUGCGGUGGUGUUUAGUUACUGCGUCACCCUCAUCGUCCUCUUCAGUAACUUUUAUUAUCAGAGCUACCUCAACAAGAAGAAGCAGAAAUAAGAGACACAGUGUGUCCAGAUGGCUUGUGCAUUGCAAAGUGUCCUGUCUUUGCAUGCAGUUUAGUGGACAAUGGAGAUGGCCGGAGCCUGCUGGUGGUUCUUCUGCUCUAAGCUCUUCUUCAUCCUGAGGAAGAAGAACAUUCAUAUUUACCACCUGAUGUUCAACUAGUGGGCAGGAAUCAAUGUAUGUGGCCGGUGGACAGUAUUAGUCAACUAUUUUAGUCAUUUACUGUAAGUGCUAUAAUUA